CCCAGCACCAGGGAGGCGUGGUUCAGCUCGUCACUCACGAUGAGACACCCCUAAAGAACCAGGAGACAAGAGGACAGCUGCUGGUACCCACGCCUGUCAGUUCACAUCUCUACUUCCUGUUGAGGCCAAUUUGGGGGAAGAAGAGAACGAGUGAAGAGGAAGGAACCAGAACCGUCAGCCGGGUCACAGUCUGGAACCGCUCCAGAGGAACAGGAUGUUCUAAUGUUCUGAUGUCCCAAACGAGUCCAGAGGAAGUGACGACGAG